GACGAACGCUGGCGGCGUGCCUAAUACAUGCAAGUUGAGCGCUGAAGGUUGGUACUUGUACCAACUGGAUGAGCAGCGAACGGGUGAGUAACGCGUGGGGAAUCUGCCUUUGAGCGGGGGACAACAUUUGGAAACGAAUGCUAAUACCGCAUAAAAACUUUAAACACAAGUUUUAAGUUUGAAAGAUGCAAUUGCAUCACUCAAAGAUGAUCCCGCGUUGUAUUAGCUAGUUGGUGAGGUAAAGGCUCACCAAGGCGAUGAUACAUAGCCGACCUGAGAGGGUGAUAGGCCACAUUGGGACUGAGACACGGCCCAAACUCCUACGGGAGGCAGCAGUAGGGAAUCUUCGGCAAUGGACGAAAGUCUGACCGAGCAACGCCGCGUGAGUGAAGAAGGUUUUCGGAUCGUAAAACUCUGUUGGUAGAGAAGAACGUUGGUGAGAGUGGAAAGCUCAUCAAGGGACGGUAACUACCCAGAAAGGGACGGCUAACUACGU
rnacentral:rRNA from 1 species